rnacentral:lncRNA from 13 species
AUGCAAAUUAAGGAUAUUGUGAGUUUGUUUUCGUUUUGUUUUGUUUUUGAGAUGGAGUCUUGCUCUGUUGCUAGGCUGGAGUGCAGUGGUGUUAUCUUGGCUCACUGCAACCUCCGCCUCCCAGGUUCAAGUGAUUCUCCUGCCUCAGCUUCCCAAGUAGCUUGGGACUACAGAUUGUUGGCAUCUCUAAACCCAGGACAACAUAACCCGAUGGACGUCCUUCUUGUUUAAACCUCCAGCAGAGAUAAACUAGACUAUGAGUUCACACCAAAUUCUCAGAAGGAAAUUUGAUUAAACCAUCAGUUUAGGUGUCUACCACUGGCUCAAUACACUUUGAACAAGGGAGAUACUUUCAUCCAGCCAGCUGCCCUCUCAUUAAGAAAACUCAAAUCAAGGUCUCUGAAAAGGGAACAGAAAAAAAAGCAGCUUAGUAUGUUAUCAGAGAAAGGGACACAGAUUGGCACACAACCUAAGAAGAACCACUUCAGAACACUGGCAGAAUCUAAGUUUGACCCUGUAUAUAUACAGGGUUUGGGAAUUAUUCUAAACUUCAUGUAGACCCAUGAAAAGACUAUAGUACCCGAAUCCCCAGAUGACUUCUGGAGCCUUCUGUCUUAUUCUGCAUAGCACAUUGUAUCAUUGUCCACAGUUAUUUGCUCUAUCUAAGUCUUCUGAGAGAGCUAUGUCUCAAAAAUAGAUACAGGCAUGGCCAUCUGUACAUGAUACUGGCUGAAAUUAAACAGAUAAACAGCCAACUGAAGUUGUAGAGAAAUUUGUACUAUCAAAAGAGCCACCGGUCCAAAUUAGAAGAGACUGUAAUUGGGCCAGUCGCGGUGGCUCAUGUCUGUAAUCCCAGGCCAAGGCGAGUGGAUCACUUGAAGCCAGGAGUUCGAGCCCAGCCAGACUAACAUGGUGAAACCCUGUCUCUACCAAAAAUACAAAAUUUAGCCCAGUGUGUUAGCAUGUGCCUGCAAACUCAGCUGUUUGGGAGGCCGAUGCAGUGAGCCGAGAUCAUGCCACUAUACUCCAGCCUGGGUGACAGAGUAAGACCCUGUCUCAAAAAAAAAGAGACUAUAAUUAUUUGAGAUUAAACAACUUUUCUCUCCCCAUCUUCAACAGCAGGAAGCAGGCCGAGGAAACUACACAGCUUUCAAAAAGGCACACUUCCAAUGCUGUCUACAUAUGUGACCAAGAAUGAUCAUGGGAAAGGAACACCCUCUCAGUGUGGAGCUAAGAAACUAUGGGGUAAAUGGUCUAGCAAGUGACUCCCAGAGAGCAAAACCAGGGCUUAAUCAAGGAACACACCUUGUACCCAGGAAGGAGGCCCUUGCAAAGCUUAACCAAAAUUACUGAAAAUUUUCAGAACAGCUGAAGACGGUGACUGCUGUGAGCCUUACAUUUUCCUCUUUUUUAAUGGGACAAUUUAUUGUGGUUAUUUUGUCCCUUAUUUAACUGUUGUACAUGUGUAAUGGGGACGACAGGUAACUAUUAUUCAACUUCUGUUUGAAACUAGUAAGUCUCUGGAUCAGAAGGACUCCCGUCUAUCCCUGAUAUAGAUAACAUUGUAACAUUUUAAUCAUCGAACUGAUUCUAUGAUUGAAUUGGAUAGGAUUUUGGAAUUUCUUCCUUGGGAAGAAAGAGAGCAAAUUUCAUUUAAGGAAGAAACAGAAAUACAGAUUUGUGAUCAAAGAGUAGACUGGGUAAGUCGUGUUAGGGAACAUGAUCCUUCCUAUUUGCUGCCACUUUAUGUACAAAGAUGAUUUCUCCUCAUCCUUGCCUAUUGGCCUGGCCAUGUGGUUUGUUAUGGUCAAUGAAAUGAAGUGGGACUAACACAAGUCAUUGCUACACAGAAGAUUUAAAUAGCAUCUCAUGGAUCUGUCACUGGUUUUAUUUAUUUUCCUGGCAUAAUACUGUAUGUCCUAGACAGGAGUUCCGUCUUCAAUUUGGGUCUCAGGAUGAAGACAGUGGCAUGCAUAACCAUUGACAAAUCAGUGCUGAACAAGUAACAUAAGUAAGAAACAAACAACAAUAGUUACUGUAAACUACUGAGAUUUAGAAAUCACAUCAUAAGAGUUGAUUGAUGCAGCCUUGUGGAUGAAGUAAUUUAUAAAAUGCUUUACUAAUGUGCUAUCUCUUCUAGAUUUGCCCCAUUAAAGAGUUCUAAAGCUCUGUAAAUCCCAGAAGAGGAUAUAAUGAAGUCACACAGUGGUUUCAAUUUAUUUUAUUCCUUCUACUUUCCUUAACUGUUCCUCUUUUUAUUCUCCCCUAUCUCCUUUCUUUCCUCUCUAUUUUAAGCAUUGAUACUAUUUUACAAAAAAAAAAACUCAGUAAGAAGGGAAAUAUUAAAUAUCUAACAGUUGAGCUGUUCUGAAAGUAGAGGAGGGAAGUGAGGAAAAGUAAAGGCUACAUACUUUCUCUUUUGAUUCCUUACAGACCCUCUUCACACUUGAUAGGCUUAAAAUAAGGCUUUGUAGGUUCCUUCCGGUUAGAGCAUAAUAGAGAUUUAAGGCCCAAGGUAGGAAUGUGCACAGGGCCAGGCAGGAAGCCAUAGAGUGCAGUGGAUUUCAGAAUAAGACAGACAUGGGUUUGAAUCUCUGCUCUGCUACCUAUUAAAUAUGACCCUGGACUGCCUCUUCAGUAUCUCCAAAUCUCUAUUUUCUCAUCUGUAAAAAGGGGACAUUGAAACCUGUUUUAUAAAACUGUUGCAAGGAAUCAAUGAAGCAGUAAGUUUGCAUGCAAGUUAUUACUUUUUCUUUGUUUUGAGCCUUUCCAACAUACAUGUCUUCACCAGAAUCUUGGAAAUAUUAGUAGAAAAAUACAUUUUAAGUGGUUAGUUCUUACCUUUAUUUUAUAAGAGCGGACACUGGCUUGUCCUUGCUAGACCUAAAACCUGGGUCUCCUGUCCCCAUAUGCAGCCUACUCUUACUGGGUCUCUAAAGGUCUUUGGGUUUAGGGUUGCAUGCCUUAGAGUUGCAUGAAAUCCUUGUUGUAUUUACUGAAAGUUCCUCCUCAUGUUGCAGUAAGCAACCAGUAGGUUUCACUGACAUUUCAGGAAUGAAAUGCUUCUACUUAGCUCAGCAAAACCCAGCAGAGCAUAUCAGAAACUGAGAAAACUGUACUUUCAGGUUCAAAUUGUAAUUGAUUCUGAAGAACUGUAAAAUGCUAGUAUGAAAGAUCCAGUUUCUCAUUUCCCUGAAGACUUCUCACACCCAAAUGACAGACAGUUGGUGUUAUAAAUUGAGAGCACUGAGACCAACCAUUUGAAGACUAGCUACCACAUCUCUUCUGGGAUAAGAGAAAUGGAUGACUUUAACAUGAAACAUUUUUCAGCUAGAAGCAAGAGGGCCCAAGAAAGAAACCUACUGAGCAGCUCUGGUUUGUCAGUUUUAUUAAAAGGGGGCAUGACUUGCAUGACUUGAAACCCAAGUGUGUCCCUGAACCAAAAGCCUUCUUAAUCAUGUAAUAGCAAGAUUUUUCUUCCAAGGCAGGAAGCAACCACAUUGGGCCUGAUCAAUCAGGCAUUACUUUAGCAUUUCUCAACUUGCCAAUUUAGUUAAUUUGCACAAAUAUCUUUGGGGCUGAGAAAGUAGCUCAUAAUAAAACUGCUUAAACUGAAAGUUCUUUAGAGGAU